rnacentral:rRNA from 1 species
AUGCGGUGGCGGAGGGAGUGGAGGUUGCCGCCGGGGCAGAACUCCACGACAACGCAGGAGAAGCGCGGGGCGGCGUCGAAGUCGGCGAAGAGCGUGGGGAGGAACGGGUGGUCGAGCAGCCGCAGGAUGCGCUUCUCGGCGGCCGCCCGCUCCAGCUUGUGCUUCUUGGCCACGGCGCGCCGGUCCACCACCUUCAAGCAGGGGAUGCAGUGGCCCGCCCUUCUCCAGGCCCUAGCCCUCCGUCCCGGCGGCACCCCCUCGUUCCGCCUCACCGGCGUCGGCCCCCCGCAGCCGGACGAGACCGACGCCUUGCAGCAGAUGGGCUGGAAGCUCGCCCAGUUCGCGUACACCAUCCGCGUCGACUUCCAGUACCGCGGCCUCGGCGCCGCCACGCUGGCGGACCUGGAGCCGUUCAUGCUGCAGCCGGAGGACUCGAACGAGGAGCCCGAGGUAAUCUCCGUCAACUCAGUCUUCGAGAUGCACCGGCUGCUCGCCCAGCCCGGCGCCAUGGAGAAGGUCCUGGGCACCGUGCGCGCCGUGCGGCCGAGGAUCGUCACCGUGGUGGAGCAGGAGGGGAACCACAACUCCGGCACAUUCCUGGACCGCUUCACCGAGCACUACUACUACUCCACCAUGUUCGAUUCCCUCGAGGGCGGCAGCUCCGGCGGCCCAUCCGAAGUCUCAUCGGGGGGCAGCUGUUGCUCCUGCCGCCGCCGGCACGGACCAGGUCAUGUCUGA